UUGCCGCCGCCGCCUCCACCUCCUCUCCUGCCGCUGCCGCCGCCUUAGCCUCGGCCGGGCCGUGUUCUGUCGGCACCCGUCGGCCUUGAUCCGGCCUCGCAGGAGGAGCUCGCCCUCGAGGAGGACUCGACAGGAGGAGGGGAGUAGUGCCUCUUCUCCUCCCCUUCGCUUCUCUCCUCCCCACGUUCUAGAUCGGGCACAAGUCACCACCAUACAAGAGCAUGGGUUGCAUGAUCUUCAUGGUUGGCGUGGUGGAGCAAGGAGGGAGGUGGAUAGCGAUGGGGGAAGGAGAAGCAAGGUUGGAGCUCCAGGCUCUACGUUGGCGUGCCGCUGGAGUGGAUGAGUGGUCAUUCGUUGCGCGCCGGCCGUCGUCCCCGUCCCCAAUCUGGGCUGCCUAUGUUUUACUGUUGUUCUCUGCAAAAUCAGCGUGAGUGCUUGAUGUUACCUCCAUCAGCUGAUGAGGCGAGGCUGCUGCUGCUGAAAAAUGGUGCUGCUACCGGAGGCAGUGGAGAGGCUUUCCGUGGACCAACUAUGGUGUGGUUCAGAUAGUCCAAGGAUUGGAAACUAUAACCUUGUCAAAUUCUACACAUAGCCAUUAUGACGACACAUUUAUGCGAUAGAUUGUCAAUAUUUAAGUUGAUACACUAAAGACGGAGAUGUGGAAAGCUUGCCACGGAGGCACACAGGCUUGCUGAUUCUGUUUUGGAUUUGUCCUUGAGAGGAGGCCGAAGCAAACUUCAACAGGCAUCAGUAAAAUCCAUGCUUCUAGCGUAUGUAGACGCCUCUGGCGUCGAACUGAAGAGACGAGGAAGAAAGGGGAUACACAAGCUCGUUGGAUCCACUCGCUGCCGCUUCAUAUUCAGCUCUUCACGGGUCACGACUGUCGCUAUUCGUGGGCCGGGCUAAAUAACAUAUGGGCCAUCGAAAUACUUAUCUCCAUAUACGCAGAACAGAAAGAUCAAAAAUCUCACAAUGGAAGACAUGGACAUUGGUAUCGUCUGUGACGACGGUUCCCCAGGAUCAGCAGCAUCAAGGACAGCAACGCCUGCGCCCAUUGUAAUCUUCUAAUCACCAGUUGUAGUUCAGUCAUUGGUCUUUAUAAACUUGGCUUUCAGUUUUGCUCCAUCGCCGGCUUAUUUGCCUUGCUUCUGUAUUCUUGGAAGAGUGAAUAAAA